rnacentral:misc_RNA from 1 species
AGUAAAGAUAUCAUCCACCAUUGAAGACUACUUAAGAAUCUAACUCAAGGUUCAACAAUUCUGCCCUGCAAGCUCCUCCAACAAUACAUGUUCCCAAUCUGAUGAGCCAGCAUGAGAUUGAUCCCCUAGCCUACUGGUCAUGCGAGAUUGGGUUAUUGGAUCAUCCUUGACGAAGAGAUGGAAUUCCUUGAUGGUAGAUUUGUCUUCAGUAGACAUACAGGCAUUAUUUUGU